rnacentral:rRNA from 1 species
CAGUAGCCGCGGUAAUACAGAGGAUGCAAGCGUUAUCCGGAAUGAUUGGGCGUAAAGGGCACGCAGGCGGUGACUUAAGUGAGGUGUGAAAGCCCCGGGCUUAACCUGGGAAUUGCAUUUCAUACUGGGUCGCUAGAGUACUUUAGGGAGGGGUAGAAUUCCACGUGUAGCGGUGAAAUGCGUAGAGAUGUGGAGGAAUACCGAAGGCGAAGGCAGCCCCUUGGGAAUGUACUGACGCUCAUGUGCGAAAGCGUGGGGAGCAAACAGGAUUAGAUACCCCCGUAGUCCCUGUCUCUUAUAC